UAACACGUGGAUAACCUGCCCUUGGGACCUGCAUAACCCCGGGAAACUGGGGAUAAUUCGGGAUAACGCAUAUGUGCUGGAAUGCUUUAUGCGUAAAAAGGAUUCGUCCGCCCAAGGAUGGGUCUGCGGCCUAUCAGGUAGUAGUGGGUGUAAUGUACCUACUAGCCGACAACGGGUACGGGUUGUGAGAGCAAGAGCCCGGAGAUGGAUUCUGAGACAUGAAUCCAGGCCCUACGGGGCGCAGCAGGCGCGAAAACUUUACAAUGCGGGAAACCGUGAUAAGGGGACACCGAGUGUCAGCAUCAUAUGCUGGCUGUCCAGGUGUGUAAAAUACACCUGUUAGCAAGGGCCGGGCAAGACCGGUGCCAGCCGCCGCGGUAACACCGGCGGCCCGAGUGGUGAUCGUGAUUAUUGGGUCUAAAGGGUCCGUAGCCGGUUUGGUCAGUCCUCCGGGAAAUCUGAUAGCUCAACUAUUUGGCUAUCGGGGGAUACUACCAGACUUGGAACCGGGAGAGGUAAGAGGUACUACAGGGGUAGGAGUGAAAUCUUGUAAUCCCUGUGGGACCACCUGUGGCGAAUGCAUCUUACCAUAACGGGUUCGACGGUCAGGAACGAAAUCUGGGGGCACGAACCGGAUUAAUACCCGGGUA
rnacentral:rRNA from 1 species